GAUGAAGAACGUAGCGAAAUGCGAUAAGUAAUGUGAAUUGCAGAAUUCCGUGAAUCAUCGAAUCUUUGAACGCACAUUGCGCCCCCUGGCAUUCCGGGGGGCAUGCCUGUCCGAGCGUCAUUUCUGCCCUCAAGCACGGCUUGUGUGUUGGGUGUGGUCCCCCCGGGGACCUGCCCGAAAGGCAGCGGCGACGUCCGUCUGGUCCUCGAGCGUAUGGGGCUCUGUCACUCGCUCGGGAAGGACCUGCGGGGGUUGGUCACCACUAUAUUUUACCACGGUUGACCUCGGAUCAGGUAGGGAUACCCGCUGAACUUAAGCAUAUCAAUAAGCGGAGGA
rnacentral:misc_RNA from 1 species